CCUUUGACGGGUCUCCUCGUCGUCACGCGAUGCUUCCAGGAGGAUCUCUACUUCUCCACCCAGAUUUCCAGGCUCCCAUCCUCACCUCUGACACUACGCCCCGUACCUCGUGCCCACUGCCACCAACUUUGCUCUCGGUGCUCCGUGGCUUCGCCUUGGCACGCGCCGGUCGUGCCCGCGGCCUCGCUCCUCCACUAGCAUAGGCACAGGUGAACCCGCACAGCGACAUAGGCGGCGCUUCGCGCCUGGCUUUGCCUCGGCACACGCCGAGUCGUGCCUUAGCCCCCAACCCCCCUCUUGCACAGGUGCACGAGAUAUCUCCAACCUCGCCUCCCUGCUGAUUAGUCGUCUUGUGUCUUCAACAUUACGAAGUGAUGAUGGCCUUCUUUUUCCUGAAAGGUGGUGUUUGUGGCGUUUAAAUCUCUACUUAAGUCACUUAGGGUAUCAUACACAGUUUGGGUUCUUUGGUAGGUAAAUCCUCCUCAAGACCCAUUAAUCUGACAAUGACACUUGGAUAUAUUAUCUUUGACAAUUUUACUCUUCUUCUUUAGACAUAUCAUUAUUUAUUUAUUUCAUUAUUCACAAUUAUAAGUAGUAAUCCAAUUGCAGGAUGAUGACUAUCUUGCUCCUAUCCAAGCUGAUCGAGAAAAAGAGUUGAAGUUUGUGCAGUAGGUUGAACUCCACAGGGUAGAGGAAGCUGCAGCAAGAGAGGCUGCUCUUGAAAAUCAAAAGAAAGAAAAGAAGCUAAAAAAGAACACAAGGGAGAGGUAGUUCACUUAGUACUAUCAAAGUCAAAGUUGCAGAAUAUGAUUGAGAUUCAUAUAUCUACUUAUACAGUUUAGUAAGCUACAGCUUGGUUCGGUAAAUUGCAGAACAUCAUGAAUCAUGACCUCUUAUGCAUGGAUGGUAAAUUAUUUUUAGUUUACAUCUCAGUGUUCAUUUUACUUAAUUGACCAUCAAUAGCAUGGAGUACCAAAUUUUCUUCGUCUUAGGAAAUAUAUCCUCAUUACUUGUGCGAACCUCUCAACUUAUGGAAUGAUACUUAGACUGCUCUCUUUCGUCUAGGUUCAUUUGAUCGUUCUUUUACUGUAUUAAUACAACUUCUAUUUUCAAGCUACUAAGAAAGCUGCUGAAAUUGGACAGCUGAACGAUGGUUAUAUGUUUGACACAUCAACCGACAUGUCAUGAAUGUGAAGAUAAUACACCCUGCCCUCCAUUGACCCACUACAUUUUUUGUUAUAUUUUGCGUUUUUUGACAUUAGUUGCUUAUAGGUUAGAUUCCCCAACAUGUCCAGUUUGUCCGCAAGGUUUUUGUGGGGAUUUCAAACAAACAUUAACCCCUUCCGGGUUGGAUUGGAAAAUGGACUGCGGACUGCCUUAUAAUCCUUGGGGGCAUGCUGUGCACGACAUGGCCACCGAGAGCCGAUGGAUGCCAGAUGAGAAGAAGCUGGCUUCUGCUGCCACUGAGAAAUUCGAAGAGGAAGAUAAUACCUCCUAUUGUCAACAGUGAUGUGUCAAUGGAGUGUGUAUAGCAUGAAAAAACCAAACAUGACAGUUCAAGAGAGACAUUUCAGAACUGCUUAGUUUGUAUAUCCCAUGAGUUAUCUCCUAACAUCUUUUAACUGCUUCAACAUUGCAUCGAAAGCAAUAUAGGCAUGCCUGAUGAUGGAGAGAUAGAUAUUUUCAUCGAAGCUGUCGGUGACAUGCUAUUUGAGUUGCAGAAACAUUUCAUAUUUUCUAUUAUUAUAUACAUAGGUUUUUGUAUGGAGGUACUGAAAGCCCCCUCCUGAAAUAUAGUAUGAUUACCACCUUCUCUACAAUCCUUUUUUUGUUUUUGUUUUAUUUUUACGUUGAAGCAAAGAACCAUAAAAUAUCUGUUUGGAAGGGACGAGAUUUGAAGGUGAUGAGGCUCCUUAAAGAAGGUUUAAUGGAACAAAUAUUAGCAUAAGGAGUUUGCUGGCCAUGUCAAAAUCUCUAUGGGCAGAUUCUAACUAGAGACCUCUAAAGGUUCAAUGAGAUGAACAUUCAUCAAGUCUUCGUCUAGAUAGAAUCUCAUGGUUUCAAGACUGCCUUCAGGUUUUGGAUCCUUGGAACUCAUUCGCUGCACCCAGUCACUGCCUCCCAGAUCCUCAACAUAUGGAUUUCCCCAAUUUUAGUGUUGACAAUCCUCACUUCUAGGAGGUCCAUUGUGAUAUCUACUUUGAAGUGCAUGCCAUCAACAAUACUUUGACGCCACUAUUUGUGGCACUAAACUUUGAAGGGGUUGUAGCUAACUGAUUGCAAUCAAUUGAACUCAGGGCCACUCACUAUUUGGAAACGUCAGCAGCUAAUUUGGACAACUUGCACCUUCUAUCUAUCUUCAACAACUAAUUUCGACAAUUUCUGACUUUCAUUUAGAACAAGUAUGAUUUUCAAUUAAACAAAAUUGUUACCUAUUGUCGUAAGCCUCUACAAUAUAAAUCUCAUUUCUUGAUUGCUAUUUUUUCGCAUCAUCACCCAGUCAUCUACUAUUUCGGAAUUGGAAGAAGGUGCAUUGUGCAUUCUAACAGUCUGCAACUUCAUUCAGAACAAUUAUGGUUUUUCAAUAAACAAACUCUUACAUAUUUUUUCCAUACUCAUCAGAGCGCACAUCCCUCCUAAACCUCAUUUCUUACUCGCUGUUUCGAAUCAAGAACAACCGUUUUGGACAGCUUGCAGCUUCUAUACAGAACAGGUACACAUAUUACCUGUUCAAUGCCAUGUUAUGCAUAGAAAAGUCUAUGUUUUCAGAUUUAAUUACCCUGAGAUACAUUAUUAUUUCUUUACUACUUCCACUUCGCUUGAACCCGCAUAAGACGCAUAACUAAAAAAACAUUCCUUCCUUACUUUUUCCCAACGCGUGGUUAAAUACUAUUAUGAAACCUCAACAGCAAAUUCAGACAUCAUGUAACUUCUAUUCUGAAAAAGAGUAUGGUUACUAGACCAAAUAUUAUAUAUUUUUACAACCAUGUGUCACAUAUUACUCCAUUACUCAUGUUUUGUUUAAACAAAUAACUAUGCAUACCUGCUCACCACACAUAAAAUUAAUCACUCCUCUUAUCAACGGUCAUCCAUCAUUAUUGCUACAAUACGCAUGGUCAUCAGAUUUCCUAUGUAAUUACCAUACUUUAACCUCUAUGUACAUGUAAAUAUGUGCUUCCAAUAGGUGCUCAAGUACAUACGAUCGAUACCAUGUUGUUAUGCAUAAGUACAUUUACACACACAUACUCUAUACUGAUUGACAUCUAUUGAUCCCCCUACUAUUCUCUUGAACCUACACACAAUUUUUAAAUGUAUCUUAUAUUAAGAUAUCCUUAGCGUUUGCGUUCUUCAUCAACGUACAAACUACAAAUCUAAUUUCAUUCUUACUUCAUUUUCACAUGUUUACAUUCUAAUUUGAAUCGACGACAGGUCAUUUGUACAUCUUGCAACCUGUACAUACUCCAGAUACGCUUUGUCCGAUAAGCACAAAUAUUACCUUUAUAGUAUGCAUCUUCAGGUUUUUCCACUCACGCCUCAAAUUUUAUUCCAGCCUUUGUAUCUCAUUUCAAUAAGUAGCUGUGCUCAGCUGCUUACCACACAUCAAAAAGGUAACUCCUAUCUAUAUACCUCCCAGAUUUUACCCACUUGCAAAAUGUUUGCUUACACGCAUAAUAUUUACUCAACUUAUAAUGAAACUAACAUUAAAAAAAGUAAAUGUUAUAUUCAGAAGAUGUACUCCCCAUUUGUAUUUGCAAACUCAAAUGAACAUAUUUUACCCUUAUUUACUGCUUUGUAAAAGGAUACGUAGACUCCACAAAUAAAGUUCACUCAUAUACUCAAUUAGAACAUAAUGAACUGACACUUUAUGAUUACAACCAACAUACUCUCAAAUCUGAUUCUAAAUAACAUGCUUCCAAAUCUGAUACUGAAGAAGAAACUACAAAGGUACAAUUCGUCCACCUUAUUUUAAAAAUUGAUAAACACAAGUACAUUUGUAAAAUGAGCGUAUAAAAAUGCUCCUUUUCCCUUUUAUAGGACCAAACAACGAUCGAUGGACAACUCAAAAGGAAAAAAAAUAAUAUGCCCUCAAUGGAAGCUCCUCCAAAAAGAUGUCUUUGGAAUGUUGACAUAAAUUGAUCCUCCACAUCUAAUUGGCUACAACAAUUCAACCAUGAUGAUAUGAGGCACAAAGUUUUCCCUUAUGUAUUAUCGCUGCCAUCUUGCUAGAUAAAGAAUGUGACAAGUACUAAAAAAAUCUUCUCAGCACUAAUGCUUCCAACAACCUAUCUAUUUAUACUAACACAGCUGCACACGCGCGCAUGGGCGCGCGCCAACACUAGUUGAAAAAAAAGCCGGACGAAAUUCAGGUUCGCCGUUUCCCGUGGUCACUACGUCAAAAUCCUUCAAACGAGACGUGAGAGUAUAAUUUUCUUUACAGCGACGUCUUUUCACUAACUACUGUACAUAUAUAGCAUCUAUUUUAAAAUGCGCCGCUAGCAAAAUCUGGUAAUAGCUCAGUGACGUUUUUUAUUUUACGUGUCUCUAAUAUAUAAACACGUCACUCGCUUCAGAUGUAAGUAUGUAACAUGUAUUUAAAUACAUGUCACUAAUAUAUAUACAUUAGUGACGUGUAUAUAUAAACAUGUCGCUGGUUUCAGACGUUAUAUCUGUUCAACGAUGUGUAUUUAAAUACAUAUCACUAAUACAUAUAUAUUAGUGGCAUGUAUAUAUAAACAAGUCACUAGUUUCAGAUGUCAUAUCUGUUUAGCGACGUGUUUUUGAAUACAUGGCGCAGUUAAAAUUCGAUUUUUUUCAAAUGGCCUCAGAUGAAAAAAUCACAAAAAUAAAGGUUAUAGGUAUUGAAAAGUUUAUGAAACUUUGUAGUUGACAAUGUUUUGAUUUGAAAUCAUCUUGUCAUAGAAAAAUAUGUUUGAAGUUUUCAAUUUGAAAAAGUACCAAAAUAAAAGUUGUAAAUCUUGAAAAGUUAUGCAACUUUAUAGUUGAGAAGUACAAAAGUUAUCUUUGGGCUUGUUCUUUGCUAGGUUGAAUAGCCCUUGAAACAAGCUUUCCGAAAAGUCCAUGAUCACUGAAAUCGAAGUUCGGAGUCAAAAGUUAUGGUGUUUUUCGUGAAGCAGGUUGUGCGGUGGCAGUGCCGCGCAUAUGAGCGGCAGUACCAGACAUGUACAUCCCCUAACGGCUAGUUUUGAUCCCCAACAACUAGUUUUGAGUUGGGGUGUAUAUAUACCCAUCCCAUGCCCCUAGGGGUGCUGCUGAAGUCCAGAAUGGUUCCAAAUCAUCCCAAGCCAUAUUUGAGCCCUCUCUAACUCCUCUCAUUGUGAGUGUGAGAUUAGUGUUUGAUCAAGUGUUAUAGAGUAACUAGUUGUGUGCCCGUGCGUUGCAACGGGAACAUAUAAUACCAUUGAUAGCUUAUGUACGUUGGGAUGAGCAUCGACAUAUAUCUGACCGGAUCUUCUUCUUCCUUGGGGAUCUGGAGAAAAGCCUGUUCGGAAGCCAAACAUGUUAAGACCUGAUCAUGUGUUGUCCUUAUGUCUCUGAUCA